rnacentral:rRNA from 1 species
AUGCUGCAGAUACCAUCUAUUAACAUGCGUACCCUACUGAUUAGGUAUAUGAUUGAGAAUUUUGAUGCCAGCAAGUCCAGAUUCAUUAUACAAGAGCAGGUUGGGGAGGUGACUCUCGGUGCGGUCGACGUCGAGUGCGUCUUUAACCUCGAGAACCAAGGACUCUCUGCUUCGGACAUUUUGAUUGAAGAAGGAGAGGACAUGAAGGAGCGGGUGCCGCCACAAUUUCUCAGUAAGACAUCAGAAAACAUAGUGAUAGAUAAUCUCAUUAAGGACAUAAUUAAGAGUAAAGCCACCAACGACGAUUUCCUUCGGAAAUUAGUCAUUGUCCUGUUAGGAACAAUUAUUGCUCCCAUAUCGAGCAAGAUUGUGCCAAAGCAGUACUACACUUUGGUACAUGAUGUGAAACGUAUUUCAAAGAUUAACUGGAAUGCGUUCACCCUACGUGUUCUCCUCGAUUGCCUUCGCAUAGUCAAGAAAGGCAAACACCUCCACCAAUGGCCGAAAGGAAAUUUGGCUCUGUUGCAGGUACACAUAUGA